rnacentral:lncRNA from 1 species
GAUUUUUCUGUUACUUUCUUAGAAAUAUUGUUUCUUUGCUUAGGUCUUCCUGAGCCAUAUUGUAUAGUUGGUGAGCAAUAUAUGAGCAAUAAGAGAAGAAAAUCUUGGUUUGCCCAAAAGGAAUUUUUUUCAUUGUAAUUCAGAAGCCAUUUUUAUUUUUUAAAGUUGUUUUAAUGCCUUGGUCAGUAUUCCUAGUGCCCUGGCACCAUUGUAUUUCCCCAAUCAGAAUAUUAAAGCAAAACAGAUCAGCAUUGACCAGAAAUGGAUUCUCCCUUAUUUAUCUAGUUAACAAACAUCUUCAAAAGCUAAAUAUCCUUUCUUAAUAACAAUACUUGUGCGCCUUUAUUUUGAUGUACUAUGAAACACAAUAAGGAUGGUAUAAUUAGUAUAGGAUUAUGUUCAUUUCAGUCUUGUAGCUUUAACUAGCUACAAAAUAGUUUGGGAUUAACAUACAUAAAUUAAAACUUAUUUCCUUGCACUCUAGGUUAAUCAGGUUUUCAGAGAUGAAAAUGUCCUGAGAAAGGCCAAAUUUAGCACAGAAACUGGAUUUCAUCUUAAUUUAGAGGAAAAUCCAAUAAAAUCUGUGCUAAAGAAAUAGUUAUUUACUUCUUUAUAAGUGUGUUGGAUUUCAGGAAGUUUGUUGAAAAAUACUGUUAUUGACUUCAUUUUUAAAAAUGCCUCCAUGAGGCAUUCUCUUUUUGAAUAUUAAAUAUAGUCAGCCUUAUGUGUUCUGAGGUACAAUGCACUGAGUAUAUUUUGCAUUUCAAAAAAAAAAUUCGUAGGUACUUUUAAUGUGUAAAUUUUAUGAUUUGAAGAUUUUAGGUUAAGUAUUUUAUAUUUAAAGUGUAUUCCAAAAUGCAAAAACAUUUUCAUGUUUCAUGUGAAGACAUGCCAGAUGAGUGAUUUCUUAAAUGAAGACAUACUUCUGUGAGAGAUGGGUAUUUGAGCAGGUGUGAGUGCCUAAUAGAACUAACUGUGAAUAAAUGAGUCCUUAGAGAAAUUUAAAGUUGUAUGAAAACUAAGAGGGUUGAGGAUUUUUUUUUAAUUUUUAAAUACUUCUGCUUCAUUCUGUAUUAAUAAAUGAAUUGUGAUGAUCACUUGCUUAUUUGAGCCUUUGCCAAUAAAGGCUUUUACUUUUCUACUAAAUAACACAC